AAGUAUUACUUGUCAGUGAUCUAUCCAAGACACCAUGAAGAUCUUCUAAGGUCUGCACUCAAGACAGCACUGUAUGCCUUCAACUUGCUGUGUCCAUCUGUCUUCCUGGCUUCCUCAUCUCUCACAGUGAAUUUCUUUUGGUUUUCAAAACAUCACACAAAAGGCAGUAGGCUUCCAUUCUAGUUUUAUGGUGUCACCAAGUGCCUCCUGACUUGAGCAAGUCAGUUUUCCUCCUCCUGCCAUCCUCCUCCGACCUAAUGGCCUUCCAUUCAUGACAUCCUGUGAUUGUGUUUGUUCAUCCUCCACCCCCUUCAAAUGUCAUCAUUCCCUUACUUAAAUUUCUACAGCACGUGUUAUUAAUUUCCAAUUGUGUUGUGUGCUGACUUCUCUUAGGCACUCUAUUCCUUAAAAAUAGAGUCUAGGUUUUUCUUAUUUUAAAAUUCAUUUAUUCAAAAAUGUUGGUUUAAAACCUAUUAUGAGCCAGGGAGGGUUGUAGUGUAGGCAGUGUGUGUAGAGCAAAGAAGCAAACAAAAUCUUUGCCCUCUGGG
rnacentral:lncRNA from 10 species